rnacentral:rRNA from 1 species
GACGUAGGGGGCAAGCGUUGUUCGGAAUUAUUGGGCGUAAAGCGCUCGUAAGCGGCCAACUAAGUCAGACGUGAAAUCCCUCGGCUUAACCGGGGAACUGCAUCUGAUACUGGAUGGCUUGAGUUCGGGAGAGGGAUGCGGAAUUCCAGGUGUAGCGGUGAAAUGCGUAGAUAUCUGGAGGAACACCGGUGGCGAAGGCGGCAUCCUGGACCGGCACUGACGCUGAGGAGCGAAAGCCAGGGGAGCAAACGGG